AAAACUAAAUUUCAUGGACUUGUAAAUAGUGAGCAGAUUUUAACGUGGAUGAAUCAUUGGCAAAUUGGAAAAAAUUACACAAAUCCAAUGCAGCUAGAAAGUUUAAUUCCAGUGUUUACUAAUAUGCUAAUUGAAUUAUCGACACUCGAGAGUUAUUUACGCGUUCAAAUGGAACAUUAUUAUUUUACGGCAAUGUUAGAUGAAUGGAUUGGCACAAACAUUGAUCCCAUGAAGGCAAAAUUAAUGAAAUUGAAAAAAACGGCAGAGAAUCAAAUCAAGAUAAGCAGCAAUUUAUAAACUAUAUCAUAAAAAUAACAAAAAAAUAUACUAAAAAUCUGAAAACUAAAAAUAUAUUUAACAUAAUAUCUAUAGGCACAAUUAUAUUGUAUAUUUUAAUUAUGUGCAUGUGCAUGUGCAUAAUAUAUAGCGUUAAAAAAAAUGAAUGUCUGAAUUUUUCACGUAUUCUCGCGUUCGUGGAGGAAAACCCAUUCAUUAAAUUCAGAAGCCUUUCUUUCUUAUUGUUUCCGGGCAUAAUGUCGGGAGGCGUCGCUACACGAAGUUAAUAAAUUCUUUUAAAUAAAGUACAUUCGAGGGCGAAAGAUGUCGAAGUUCGACGACCGACACGCACAGAUUCUCGAUGAGCAAUUUGAGGACAUCUUGUAUCGGGUUAAACCAUAUCUGUUGAAUUUGGCGAUAUCAAGCGACUCCCGUCAUUGCCGGCUUUGGCUUGAGCGUUUCGACCAUGCCGAGGACCAGCGCAGCCUCAGGAAUGACUAUCUACUGGAGCUUUAUCGACAACUGAAAAAUGGUUACCUGAGAGUGCCUUUCAAUAAACCGCCAGAAAACGGCAGGCUUGUGCCUCUCUCAAAGUUCCAUCGUUUGGUACACGCCACUUCGUUAUUUUAUUACCGAAUCCCCUUCAACCACAACCUAAAAUGCCAUUGUACCAUUUUUAAUUUGUGGUUAAGUAUUAAUCUAAUCGUAAGAGAGCCCAUGAAAACGAACGUGAUUUCCUUUCUUUAUUUGUUACGUUCCGCCAUACCGCUUACAAUAUUUUUCAAACUUAAAAAAAGGCUAUCACAUUUCGUAGCUCAGUGCUCGCAAAUUCAAUAGCUACAACUGAAUUGAUGCAUUAGGUAACGAGUUCGUCGUGUAACGAAUUAACGGAGACGAGUCCCUCUCUUUGCGAACCACAGCGCAGUUGGCCCAAGCCAAGGUGUAAGAGCCUAAACCGAGACAUACGCAGGAUCAGAACUUUUCCGAGGCAUGAAGAAGUACAUUCGAGUACUCCCCGUGGAGAUAUGCUCUCGUCGCCGACAGUUCACUUUCAUGAGCAAAGUAGCAGGUUCUACCUCUCGAUAUUUUCAUUUGAACAUAUGGAUGAAUGUUCUUUGAUUUUAAUCGGAUAAAUCGAAGGCUUAUCGAAUUUAAGAAUCGCUUAUGCUGAAUACUUUAUUACUGUAAAAU